AGGAUGAACGCUGGCGGCGUGCCUAAUACAUGCAAGUCGAGCGAACGGACGAGAAGCUUGCUUCUCUGAUGUUAGCGGCGGACGGGUGAGUAACACGUGGAUAACCUACCUAUAAGACUGGGAUAACUUCGGGAAACCGGAGCUAAUACCGGAUAAUAUUUUGAACCGCACGAUUCAAAAGUGAAAGACGGUCUUGCUGUCACUUAUAGAUGGAUCCGCGCUGCAUUAGCUAGUUGGUAAGGUAACGGCUUACCAAGGCAACGAUGCAUAGCCGACCUGAGAGGGUGAUCGGCCACACUGGAACUGAGACACGGUCCAGACUCCUACGGGAGGCAGCAGUAGGGAAUCUUCCGCAAUGGGCGAAAGCCUGACGGAGCAACGCCGCGUGAGUGAUGAAGGUCUUCGGAUCGUAAAACUCUGUUAUUAGGGAAGAACAUAUGUGUAAGUAACUGUGCACAUCUUGACGGUACCUAAUCAGAAAGCCACGGCUAACUACGUGCCAGCAGCCGCGGUAAUACGUAGGUGGCAAGCGUUAUCCGGAAUUAUUGGGCGUAAAGCGCGCGUAGGCGGUUUUUUAAGUCUGAUGUGAAAGCCCACGGCUCAACCGUGGAGGGUCAUUGGAAACUGGAAAACUUGAGUGCAGAAGAGGAAAGUGGAAUUCCAUGUGUAGCGGUGAAAUGCGCAGUGAUAUGGAGGAACACCAGUGGCGAAGGCGACUUUCUGGUCUGUAACUGACGCUGAUGUGCGAAAGCGUGGGGAUCAAACAGGAUUAGAUACCCUGGUAGUCCACGCCGUAAACGAUGAGUGCUAAGUGUUAGGGGGUUUCCGCCCCUUAGUGCUGCAGCUAACGCAUUAAGCACUCCGCCUGGGGAGUACGACCGCAAGGUUG
rnacentral:rRNA from 1 species